UCCCUGGUGGUCUAGCGUCUAAGGCUCCCACGCUCUCACUGUUACGGCCCCGGGUUCGAUUCCCAGGCAGGGAA